UACAGAGGUGGCAAGCGUUGCUCGGAUUUACUGGGCUUAAAGGGCACGUAGGCGGAUGGGCACGCGAGUGGUGAAAUGUCUCGGCUUAACCGAGGAACGGCUGCUCGAACGACCCAUCUUGAGGAGGACAGGGGCGACUGGAACUCUGGGUGGAGCGGUGAAAUGCGUAGAUAUCCAGGGGAACGCCGAAGGUGAAGACAGGUCGCUGGGUCCUUCCUGACGCUCAGGUGCGAAAGCUAGGGGAGCGAACGGG
rnacentral:rRNA from 1 species